UUUUUUUUUUCUUUGGGCAUGUCCUGGCACACAAGAAUUAAAAAAAAAAUUAAUCCCACACGACAGGUAGUUUUUUUUUUGUUUUUUUGUUUCUACGGGCGUGUCUUAUCCCUCCCCCUCCCCCCCAAAGUCCUCUGUCUAGUCUGAAUUAUCAAGCAAACGUCACCAUAUUAAUUUUGGGUCUCUCUUCUUCCUCUCUUGUUGAUCCAUCUCGAUGAGUUUUUAUAAUUCAUUAUAAAUGCAACGACGAUGGUUUAAAAAAAAACAAAAACGGAUGGAGAGAAUUUCUUGACUUUGGUUCAGCUUUUCGGUUUCUUCGGCGGCCACAUAAUUAUUUAUUUCAUCAGAUUACCUCUCUUUUCCUUGGAACUGACCUCCGUCUCUGAUUUUUCUUCUUCUCGAAAAAAACAAAAUUAAUUGAAAAAAAAAAACUGCUUUUCUCUUCGUUUAAUAUUUUCUAUAUGGAAAGAUGGCAUCGUGUUCUCUCUUGUUUUCUUUCUAUUCGCUCUCAGAAAUAAGAAAAAAAAAAUUGCUGACAGUGUUUUGUUUUUUUGUAAUUACCCAUGUAUUUACUGUAUAUAUUGAAAAAGGUUACACUUGUGCAAAAUAUAUCGUGAAUUGACACUGUGAUUGUGAAUCUCAACCACCGCACCCGGGGUUUGAGGGGUGGGGGGUGCCGGAAAAGGACGCACACACACACCAUAUGUCGGAGCCAAUUGAACUUAAUUCAACCACUUCCGGCGGCUGUUAAAAUACCUCGUUUCCUUCCCAUUCCCCCACAUAAAACUCGAGAAGGGGAAAGGUCCUGGGAGAGGAAACAAGUCAAACAAUUUCCAAAAAUUGAAGACUGCAAGUACUCAACCCUUUACAACCAGAAGGGAAAUAGAUGAUGGAACGAGACAGAAUUGAUAAAUGUCAAACGAUUGAAAGAUUCAAUCGAAAACAGUUUUCUUUAAAGGAAUAAUCGAUAUAUCCUAAUAGAUAAUAUGAAUGAAUUUAUUUUUUUUUUUAAAGAAGCCCGUUGGCUACACACACACACACACCAUGGCCAUGACAUAUGGUUCUCGUACAAAGUUUUGGAGAAAGGAGACGAACCACUUCCGGUGGGGCCUUUUAGCUGCCAGUCUGGCUCCAUUGCUGCCCCCGCAUGUUCACAACCCCUCCUCCUUUACGGCCCCUUCCCAAUCCCCACGGUUCUCAUCUCUCUCUCUCUCUUUUUUUUUAUCCUUUAAGCUAAGAAGAAAAAAGAAAAACCGCGCGACCGGAUGUCGACCACUUUGACCCGUCCCUUUUUGGAUUCUCUCCACACACACACACACACACACAAAAAGGCAAGAUGGCGUGUCGAAACCAAACCAAAAAAGGCUUUUUUUUUGAAAAUAAUGAUAAUAAUAAAAAAGAAAUACUUAAAUAAAAAAAUAAAAAUUCAUUUGUCAUUUUGUUAUGUGCUGAAUGGGGGUUACGGAAUCGAUGGUGGUAAGAGUCGGUUCAAAGUUGCACGCCCACGCUCGUUGCCAUGGCAACACCGAUCGUCAAUUGCACAGGUUUUCUCUCUUUGUGGUCAACGCCAUUUUUUCCCACGACGCACCGUUGGUGUGAAGCCCGGAUGUGUGUGUCUCCCCCACUUUUCAUGUACACACAUGGCUGCAGAGUUUGUGUAUAGUCUUGUUACGUGUACGUUAAACCGAGACGUGCACAUCCACUUGCUUUGCGAAGAGCACAGCAGCAAUGAUUCGUUUUCCGUUUGGCAUCACAUUCAACUGAUUAAGCGGAUUCAGUUGAGCUGGUCGCAGUGAACGAAGGAAAAAGAAAAAGAGGAGUGCUGCUUGGGUUGAAACGGCGCCGUCAGUGUGUGUAUAGCCUCAAGCCUAUACAUAUACGUCACCUCACCAAAAAUCUUGACCAAACCUUUUCAGAAAAAGGCACACGGUCGCCAUCUAUUUUCUUUGAUAUACGAACGUUUUGUGAUGUGUAAACAAAUAACCAUUCCCCCCCCCCCUUCCCCCCUUUGCUUGUUGUCGCUUCCAGGAAAUGAAUUUCUUCCGUGUAGCGUCUUUUCGACGUCGAUGCGUAACAAUCGAUAUAUAAAAUCGCAGAAUUUUGUACGAGAAGACAGGUUGCAAUCUAUUUAUCUUUUAUAAUUGAUUGUAGUAAUUGAUUGAACGUAUUAUUUUGUCGUAUUGACACGUUUUUUUCUGUAAAAUUAUUGAACUGAUGACUUUAAAUUUUGAAGAGUACUGCAUUAAAAGUUCAUUGCAAACGCAGUCGAAGGAACUUGCGUUGUCGAUAGCAAAAAUUAUCACACAUUUUUAUAGUCUUCCAAAUUUGCCGCGCUUGCCUUUGAUUAUUUUGUCGGUAUGCGAGACGGGCGCCAAAAUGUGAUUACUCUGUGGUUUAUUGUUAAGCUGCUGAUUCAGCUGGUUAACCUUUUAAUCUUCCAAAAUGCAGGGCAACAAGUACAUCACUUUUUCUUGUUUCAAAUAUAGUUUUGCCACCACAGACGUAGGAAUGAUAGUCGUCUGCUGUUUUCCUUCGACGGGCAGAAUGAAAGAAUUCGGAUUGGUUAUGAUAUUUAGAACAAGCAAACAUUAUCUAAAGCAUGCAAUUUGCAAUGUCCAGCACUAUUAUGCAAGUGUGUUAGCAGCUGGCAUUUGAGGGCGUCAGAGUAAAAAGACCAAGUCUCUUAGCUUUGCUCACCGUUGUUUGUCUAUUCUAGUGCCAUCUAGUGGACGAAAUAUAAUGUCUACAUUUACGACAUAUUGCCAACAGGAGACAUAAUUAAACCCUUGCUAUCUUUUGCAAAAUUUUUUAAAUGGGAAAAAUUAAUUCGGCGAAUUUCCAAACUGACUUCAUUUACCAAAAUUGGGUGGGACUGCAGAAUCAAAAUAUCUUUGGUUGCCCUGAUCUUGGCGAUAUUUUAAACAAUGGCAACCACCGGCUCGUACGAGGAUAUUUGCGUUGUAAAAAUCCUGCUAUUACAAACUAAUGUCCUUUGCAGCAUGUCUACCUAAAACGUAGCUGCUUAUUAUUAUUUAUUUUUUUUCGUUUAGUGCUACAACUGUUUUCUAUGUGAGUGACAGACUGUCUGCUUUGACUUUACAAAAUUUCAUUGUUUUCCACUGGGAGAUGUAUUGCUCUAACACAUUCAUGCUAAGCUUUAAGAUGGAUUACUAGGCCAAAAAAGAAUGCCUGACGUAGCCGUGUUGAUGAGCCUUUUGCCUCCUCAAAAUAGGAACGUCUGUCGUAUAAAUAGCUCAGCCCUAAAUGCGACGUAAAUAAUAUGUUUUUAUAUAUUUAUAUUAGCAGCAAGGAGUCAAGCAAAAAUUCAGAACAAAGAAGUAUUCUACACUUAAACUCUUAUUCCUAAGAUUUCGUGUUGAGUUUGAAGCACUUGUUUUUUUUUUCGACCAUUGCGUUCACAUUGCCUUCUUUUGAUUAAAUAGUAAUGCCAUUUUGUGUUUGAUUUACGCCGAAUUGAUGAUAAAUUAACUAAAUCAAAAUUUCUCUGUUGAUAGAUAGAAAUAGAAAUGAUGUUAGUUUUUGUUGGCUUUCAAUUGAAGGCCUUGUGAAAAGCAUGUUCCAACGGCUGGAAAAGAUCGAGGGCGCCAUUGGUGCUAAAUAAAAGGAAAACAAAACUGCCUUACGAGCGAAGUAUAUAAUUUCGUACCAGGUGCUCCAAUUUGACUUCGUCGAAACAUCGUUACUUCGUCGAAAUAUCGUUACUUCUUCACCUUUCUUCUCCUUCAGGUAACAAUGAUAAUUUACCAGUGGCCCGGAAGUGGUAGGGCUUUUCCUGUGAUCACCUUGUUCUCUUCCAUGUCAUGGGGUGUAAAGUUCGUGUGCCAUCCGCCUUCUAGUAAGAAUUAUGGGAGAGAAAACGACGCACGAUGAAUUUUAUGACCGGAACAACGGUUCACUUUGCCCGAACACAGGUUACCAACUGAAAUCUUGGAAGAUUGCCAAAAGGUUUUUCAAGAAAAUCACUUAUUUUGCAGUCGUUUCGUUAUACAAACUAAAUUCAGCUUGAAUCGGUUUAGGGAGAGCUAAAAAACGACUCCCGGGCUUUGCUAGUUUCCUGAAAGCCAUACGAAUACAUAUAAAGGGCAAAAGGGUUCGGAGGUAGAUGUGGUGGAUCGAGGAGUAGACAUGAAAAAUUGAAAAUCGUGGUCGUAUGGGCAAAGGUAGAUGACGCAUGGAAAAGAUGACUAGAGAUAAAUUGGAAAGAGGAUGCUAAAACUAAAUAAAUAUGUUUAUGGUACAACCCCGUGUGAUAUGGGAAUAGUAAUGUAUUUUCGCUGAGGAGACUGUACAGUGCAGUUGUGAAACCUGUAAGGGACGGGUUGAGAGAGGAAACGGUUGUUUUUAUUCUAGAGUACAGAUAUGGGCCAUGUCACUCGUGGCGUUCGUUGCGGACUUUUGGAGAACCCUCUCAGGUCCUGCUCUAAAAAGACAUUCACGGUUUUCAUGUUUUACCAGUAAAUAGUGAGCUCGUUAUUGCGUCAGAAAUUUCAGAAAGAAACGAAAAUAAACAUUUUUAAAAGAAAUACGUACGUAAUGGUUAAAGAACAGUAAUAUGAUAAAAAGAAUGAAAUAGUAAAAUCGCUGGUUUAAUCAGAAAAACAACCAAUUAAUCGAAACAAGCGUUUUAUUUUGAUUGUUCCGUGUGAUUUUUAUCGAACUUCUAGAAAUGUCAUUUUUUGCAAAUUUUGAGAAAAGUGGGAAGAGUGUGGCCUUCCCACUUUUGUCAAAAUCUGCGAAAAGUGACAUCUCACGAAAUUUGACAAAAAGCAUACGAGAUAACCCAAAUUGAACGUUGAUUUCGAUUAAAUUGUUGGUUUUCUCGCUAAACCACCUGUUAAAAUACAAAACAAAGUGCUGCUCUUAAACUUAGUUUUUGGGUUUCUCUGAUUCCAAGUGUUUGCGAAUCUGAUUCCCUUUUAUCCAAAAAUCGAUUAAUUAUGUGGAAAACUAAUGUUUUAUUCUGAAUUAGCUUCUCAUUUUGGUUGUAAUAGGUUAAGUUUUAUUGAAUUCCUAGUCAAAAUUCUAAGCCGAUUUUGUAAACAAAAAGUCGGGCUUAAAAUGUCGAGCUUAAUUAAUCAAGUAAAACUAGAUAUCUUAUCAAUAGAUGGCUACACUGUUUGGUGGGUCGUCUGCAGUAGAAAUUGACGUUUCAUCAGAUGUAGCCUAGUUGUUAGUGAUUCGAGACGUGUUAAGCGAGGAGUAAAAAAAUGUACAGUGCGUUCUGUUUUAAAAAUUCUUUUGGCUACUCGGUAAUACACUGAAAUUUGCCAUUAUUUUGUACCAACCUGAGGGACACUUUUUCACGACACACACGAUUGUUUGAAAGUUGAUUUUUCACUAGACGUCAUUUGAAUGUUCAGUUCCUAUCCACAGCCCCCAGUCCUACAGUGUGCAAAAAUAGAAAGUUGAAAUAAUCUACUCAUUGUGCUAUCCUGCACAAUGCAAGAUUCAUGUAAGCAAUCUUGAAAUGAUAUAUCGUCAGACUACUCAGUAUUAAAAUGCUCGGAGGAAUUUUGCUUAAGGAAAUUUGCAGCUGUGGACUUUAUUUAGAUGACUCUUGUAUCGGAAAUAUUUUCCUUAAUAGGAUGUCUUGAUGCUAAUGAAGUGUCAUUGGAAAGAUUGUAAUAAGAUUUUUAGCAGGAGAAACCUAAAGUUGGAGGACAAUAAAUUUGUUUCGUGUUACUAGUUUUGUAAAACAAAUGUGGAGAUUGAUUCCAAAUCUUCAGCUUUCCAAGCAGACACCCAUCCACAAAGCCAUGGGCGAUAGAUGAUAUUCACAGUGGGCACUACUGCGUUGUAAAUUGGUGUCACUUUUACAAAGCCAAACAGAUUUUGAUCAAGUGUCUACUGUGAAAAAGAUCAUGUGUCUCCAACGAAAAUGGCUCUCCCCAGUGUGUCAUUCUGAUGCAGAACUCCUGAAAUCUAGUUGAACGUUUUGAACCAUCUCAGGACAAAGUUCAAGUUCUAGUUUGCAGCGAUAUUAGAAAAGUAGUCGCUUUGUGGAGUUUCUUCGCCAUCCAGUGAAUCAAUCGGAAUGAUGUUCACUUCCUCGACGUCAUUGCUCGCGUAAUUUAAUAACUUUGUGCUUCGAAAUAAGAUGUUAUAUCGAUCGGUAAAGGUAAAUCGGAAAAGAGUAUUUUUCCUUCACAUAAGAACAGAAAUUUAAGCAUUAGCAAGUCAUCCGCAUCCAAACAGAUCAAACACACGAGGUAUUCCGCCUCAUCCGGCAACUUACCAUCCAGCAACGCAUCCAUCAACAGAAUGUUUAUGGAUCAAUGGUUAUAUAUUGUCGUCAUAAUGAAUUGAAGGUCAGUGGUGGUCAUGGUGGUUCACCCACAUGAGAGUGAACUGGUUGAACUAAAUAGAUUUAUGUUGAUCAUU